GUUGAACGCUGGCGGCAGGCCUAACACAUGCAAGUCGAGCGGAUGAAGGGAGCUUGCUCCUGGAUUCAGCGGCGGACGGGUGAGUAAUGCCUAGGAAUCUGCCUGGUAGUGGGGGAUAACGUCCGGAAACGGGCGCUAAUACCGCAUACGUCCUGAGGGAGAUAGUGGGGGAUCUUCGGACCUCACGCUAUCAGAUGAGCCUAGGUCGGAUUAGCUAGUUGGUGGGGUAAAGGCCUACCAAGGCGACGAUCCGUAACUGGUCUGAGAGGAUGAUCAGUCACACUGGAACUGAGACACGGUCCAGACGCCUACGGGAGGCAGCAGUGGGGAAUAUUGGACGAUGGGCGAAAGCCUGAUCCAGCCAUGCCGCGUGUGUGAAGAAGGUCUUCGGAUUGUAAAGAACUUUAAGUUGGGAGGAAGGGCAGUAAGUUAAGACCUUGCUGUUUUGACGUUACCAACAGAAUAAGCACCGGCUAACUUCGUG
rnacentral:rRNA from 1 species